rnacentral:tRNA from 27 species
GGGCGGCUAGCUCAGCGGUAGAGCACUCCCUUCACACGGGAGGGGUCACAGGUUCGAUCCCUGUGCCGCCCACCA